rnacentral:rRNA from 1 species
UGGGUAACCCACCCCGAUGACCGGGACAACCCGAGGAAACUCGGGCUAAUACCGGAUGAGCUCCUCCCCCUUGAGGGAGAGGAGGAAAGAUAGCUUCGGCCUUCGCAUCGGGACGGGCCCGCGGCGCAUUAGCUUGUUGGUGAGGUAACGGCUCACCAAGGCAACGAUGGGUAGCUGGUCUGAGAGGACGAUCAGCCACACUGGGACCGAGACACGGCCCAGACUCCUACGGGAGGCAG